AGCACGAUGGCCGAGUGGUUUAAGGCGUUGGACUUAAGUUCCAAUGGAUGAAAAUCCGCGUGGGUUCGAACCCCACUCGUGCUA
rnacentral:tRNA from 1 species